rnacentral:rRNA from 1 species
CGGCAACAGCUCAAAUUUGAAAUCUGACUCUUUCAGGGUCCGAGUUGUAAUUUGUAGAGGAUGCUCUGGGCAUGGCUCCGGUCUAAGUUCCUUGGAACAGGACGUCGUAGAGGGUGAGAAUCCCGUAUGUGACUGGCUGCCUUUGCCUGUGUAGAGCUCCUUCGAC